GAUAAACGCUGGCGGUGUGCUUUAUGCAUGCAAGUCGAACGGUCUUGAUUUAUCAAGAUAGUGGCGAACGGGUGAGUAACACGUAAGUAACCUGCCCCUAAGUGGAGAAUAACUUCGGGAAACUGAGGCUAAUACUGCAUGUGAUAGCAGUGGUAAUGCAUUGUUAUUAAAGCCUUCGGGCGCUUGGGGAGGGGCUUGCGGUCGAUUAGCUAGUUGGUAAGGUAACGGCCUACCAAGGCUUCGAUCGAUAGCUGGUCUGAGAGGAUGAUCAGCCACACUGGGACUGAGACACGGCCCAGACUCCUACGGGUGGCUG
rnacentral:rRNA from 1 species